rnacentral:rRNA from 1 species
UACGUAGGGGGCUAGCGUUGUCCGGAAUCAUUGGGCGUAAAGAGCGUGUAGGCGGCCCGGUAAGUCCGCUGUGAAAGUCGGGGGCUCAACCCUCGAAUGCCGGUGGAUACUGUCGGGCUAGAGUGCGGAAGAGGCGAGUGGAAGUUCCUGGUGUAGCGGUGAAAUGACGCAGAUAUCAGGAGGAACACCGAUUGCGAAGGCAGCUCGCUGGGACGUCACUGACGCUGAGACGCGAAAGCGUGGGGAGCAAACAGG